rnacentral:rRNA from 1 species
ACAGCAGCCGCCGCGGUAAUACGGAGGGUGCAAGCGUUAAUCGGAAUUACUGGGCGUAAAGCGCACGCAGGCGGUCUGACAAGUCAGAUGUGAAAUCCCCGGGCUUAACCUGGGAACUGCAUUUGAAACUGUCAGGCUGGAGUCUUGUAGAGGGGGGUAGAAUUCCAGGUGUAGCGGUGAAAUGCGUAGAGAUCUGGAGGAAUACCGGUGGCGAAGGCGGCCCCCUGGACAAAGACUGACGCUCAGGUGCGAAAGCGUGGGGAGCAAACAGGAUUAGAUACCCCUGUAGUCCCUGUCUCUUAUAA